UGAACGCUGGCGGCGUGCCUACUACAUGCACGUCGAGCGAACAGACGAGGAGCUUGCUCCUCUGACGUUAGCGGCGGACGGGUGAGUAACACGUGGAUAACCUACCUAUAAGACUGGGAUAACUUCGGGAAACCGGAGCUAAUACCGGAUAAUAUAUUGAACCGCAUGGUUCACUAGUGAAAGACGGUUUUGCUGUCACUUAUAGAUGGAUCCGCGCCGCAUUAGCUAGUUGGUAAGGUAACGGCUUACCAAGGCAACGAUGCGUAGCCGACCUGAGAGGGUGAUCGGCCACACUGGAACUGAGACACGGUCCAGACUCCUACGGGAGGCAGCAGUAGGGAAUCUUCCGCAAUGGGCGAAAGCUUGACGGAGCAACGCCGCGUGAGUGAUGAAGGUCUUCGGAUCGUAAAACUCUGUUAUUAGGGAAGAACAAAUGUGUAAGUAACUAUGCACGUCUUGACGGUACCUAAUCAGAAAGCCACGGCUAACUACGUG
rnacentral:rRNA from 1 species